GUUGGCGACAAGCGGUCAGGUGCGUCCCCGACGACGUGAGCAGGUUUUACGAAGAAAAGCAGUGAGGCCGUAAAACGAUUGAACAGCUGUGCUUCAAAGAAAGCUUUAGAGUUGCAUUGUGUUGUGUGUAGAUGGUAUCAGUUAUGCAUGUUAUCAAGAUUUGCAGCUGAUACCAAUUACCAGGAAGACGAUGCAAGACAAGUGCCUUGAAUAUUGUGCCAACCAACUAGAAAUUAAUCUCAUAUCAGCUCAACCCCUAGAAAGGUGCUAUGAAAUAUUACAUUUGCUACUAAGCAUUUCUCUCUGCAUGUGUUUGCGUGUGCUCGAGUGUACUGGCACGCGCGUUUUCCUGUAUGUGUAUUCUGGUGUUCUAGUGAUAUCUAUCUAAGCAUUUUUGUGCGGAAGUGCUGUUAGGGUAACAGCACAAUGCGUGCGCAAUAUAACAGAUGGCGUUUCAUGUAUGAUGACGUGCGAUUGUCUAGACGACAUGUCUCGCAUUGGAUUCGAAUCUCGUUUGCGUUCGCCUUUCGAGUGCCAUGGCUCUACUGCCCCAGCUAGAAAACGAUUCGACUGUGCCCAGGAACGGGGUGUUGUUUGUGGGGAGUUGUUUGUUGGAUGGAUCGAGGUGUCUGUAGUAGGACCUCUCUCCUGCUGACUCGUGUAUAUAAUGUUUAUUUUUGCUACAGGGUUCUUUCAUAUUUAUUUUCGUUGUUUUUUUACGUUUACGUAGUCGUGUUGCAUCGCCUCAGCUUACGACGUAGUGAGAAGAUACCGUUAGCGGUGUCAUAUAGUUCAAACGGCCAUACCUCAUCUCAAGUGGCGUGCUAUCAUAGUCUCACGCAUAGUCUAGUUUCGAUAUAAAGGUCAACGCUAGUUGUAUGUAAUUAGUCCCAUGCUCUUCCCAACGCUACCUUAAUACGAAUGUAUGUUAUUUAAAAAUGUGUCGCCAUCGUUGCUAUUAUUUCUGCCGUGAUUGGUACCGAGGUCGAACGGAACACGUGAGCCCCUCGUCUGUGAUUGGUUAGCAUGGCACAUGAUGUGCACGUCUGCGUGCGUGCCCUUGCUGAAAGUUUUAGUUGAAAUUCGGUCGUUUUCUUUAAUUUUUUUCGUGUCUUAUUAAGUUGCUUGCGUAAGUGUUGCGUAAGUGCGUGCGCUUUAGAUGUGCGGGAGCAGGCAUCUGCCCUCAAUCCGUUCGUUUGCUCUUCGUCUGCUAGCUGCAGCUAAGCUGGAGAAAUAUCAAUCGAGUAUAGACUUAAACAAGAUCGGUCAUGUUUAAUUUGCAAGAAAGUGAGCUGUCAUUAAAGCGUUACUUGAAGGUGGCGCUGUGCUGUAAUGACGGGCCGGUGUAUUGCGCAUUACGCUAGUAAAGUUUAUACGGUGAGUGGCGUGUGACUGUCGUUGGUAGUCGCGUUGCUCAGGUAUCAAACCAGUUUAAACUAUUGGGGGCGUGUCGGUAGAGUGACGAUGCUACGGUUUUAGAUUGUACGCGAGGAUAAGGUAGGUGGCAGUAGCUAUUCUUUAGUCGACGGUGAAGAAUGGAUUACAGGUAAUUUUCUAGCUCUUUUGAAACCAAAGAUGCAUCACCGAUGAGAAUUAUGCUUUUUAUAAUCGAUCUUGUUAUUUCUUUAAGCGUAUUUACAUGUAUGAUUUAUUACUAGUCAAAAUAAGAGAAUAAAAAAGAUGUACACAUUUAAAAUAAUAUUGUAGUAGCUGUAGCAAUUGCAAACAAAGAAUAAACUAAUCAAAAACGGAUAACAUUCAAA